rnacentral:rRNA from 1 species
GGCGGCGUGCUUAACACAUGCAAGUCGAACGAUGAUCCCUGGCUUGCUGGGGGGAUUAGUGGCGAACGGGUGAGUAACACGUGAGUAACCUGCCCUUGACUCUGGGAUAAGCCUGGGAAACUGGGUCUAAUACCGGAUACGACCGCUCCACGCAUGUGGUGGUGGUGGAAAGCUUUUGCGGUUUUGGAUGGACUCGCGGCCUAUCAGCUUGUUGGUGGGGUAAUGGCCUACCAAGGCGACGACGGGUAGCCGGCCUGAGAGGGUGACCGGCCACACUGGGACUGAGACACGGCCCAGACUCCUACGGGAGGCAGCAGUGGGGAAUAUUGCACAAUGGGCGAAAGCCUGAUGCAGCGACGCCGCGUGAGGGAUGACGGCCUUCGGGUUGUAAACCUCUUUCAGUAGGGAAGAAGCGGAAGUGACGGUACCUGCAGAAGAAGCGCCGGCUAACUACGUGCCAGCAGCCGCGGUAAUACGUAGGGCGCAAGCGUUAUCCGGAAUUAUUGGGCGUAAAGAGCUCGUAGGCGGUUUGUCGCGUCUGCUGUGAAAGACCGGGGCUCAACUCCGGUUCUGCAGUGGGUACGGGCAGACUAGAGUGAUGUAGGGGAGACUGGAAUUCCUGGUGUAGCGGUGAAA